rnacentral:lncRNA from 1 species
AUGUGGAGCCGCUCCGGAGCCGCUCCGGAGCCGCGCCGGGCUCGGCUCGGGCCGGGACGCGGCGCUGAGGCGCGGUGCCGCUGCGGGGCUGCGGGUCGGGGCGCGGCGAGCGUUUCCGUUGCUGCUGGUCUCUGCAGAGUUCGGGAAAAGUGGAGAGACGGGGCGGAAUUCCAGCAGAGAGGUGGAAGGUGGAAGAAGCCUUCUUGGCCCAUACAAAGCCAGAACGGCGUCGCUUCCCGGAACAGGGAGACUGGGUGUACGUACAGUGCUGCCGAAGGAAGGCUGCCGGGCACUGCUUGUGCCAAGUCAAGGACUUUCUGGUUCCUUACACUGCCCUGCCAGCAAGGGGGCUGGGAGUGCACAAGGAACUGGGAGGGGACAGAGCCAGGACCGCUGACCCAAACUGACCGAAGGGAUGUUGCUCACCAUCCCAUAUGGCAUCACGCUGAACAAUUCAUACGGGGUGGCUGGGGGGGGAACAGGAUGGGGAGGACCGCUGCUUGGGGAUGGGCUGGGCAUCAUCAGCAGGUGGUGAGCAAUUGCAUUGCGAAUCGCUUGCUUUGGAACAUUCCGUCAUCAUCACCAGCAGUGUUAUUAUUACUUCCCUGCCUUUUCUGUCCUAUUAAACUAUCUUUAUCCUAACCCACGAGCUUUGACUAUUUUUUCUUCCCAGGUGUCCCACGGUGCCGUUCGCUCUAGCCACCUGCCAGGUUAAGCCAGAACAAGAGCACAGAUGGGAAAGGGUAGAAUGCGCACCUCCUCGUUUGGCUUUCGGAAGGACACAGGCUAACAAGUUACUCUAGUGAACAGUGUGAUUGGGCAGGUUCUCCUGACUUAGGGAACUUGUCAGGGCAACUGAUCUUCUUUUUCUAAUGUUAUUUUUCAUAAUACUCACUGCAAACCCUUGCUGAAUUUGAAAAAGUUACAGAGAGGUUGCCUGUGACAUCUCUGGAAAGGGGGGUGUGUUUUCGUGGAGGUGCGACUCUUUCUGUAAUCUCUUGUCAAAAACUUCUGGGUAAGCGGAUCCUUCAUCCCGUUGGAUACGGAUGUCCUGCAGGGGUGUCUGCCAUUCCCAUGACAGGGAUAGCUGCAGAGCGGGUACCGAGUGGAAAGGAGAUCUGAACGACAGCUAAUGUCGACAUUAAAAACUCUGUGGGAGCAGCCGGGGACAAGAUGUGGAAGGAUAACUUGGUGAGGAGCUGCUCUGCAAGGUGGAGGUGGGCAGUGACCCAAGAGGAGCAAAAUCAGCAGGAGAAGAUAGGGGGUCUGGGCAGGGGAGAUGUUGGGAGAGGCGGAGCAGCCGACAGGAGCGACUUUUCCCUUUCCUGUGAGGGAGAUGAUGAUGGAAAACCUGCCCCGGAGAAACGCUUGCUGUUUGCAGUUCAGGCUGUAAAGCUGCUUCACAGAAUCAAAGAAGUUAGGGAUUGGAAGGGAGCAUGACAGAUCAUCUAGUCCAAUCCCCGUGCUGGAGCAGGAACACCGAGAUCAGGUCACACAGGAAUGUGUCCAGGUGGGUUUUGAAUGUCUCCAGAGAAGGAGACUCCACAGCCCCCCUGGGCAGCCUGUUCCAGUGCUCUGUCACCCUCACCGUGAAGAAGUUUCAUCUCACAUUUAAGCGGAACCUCCUGUGAGUUCCAGCUUG